AAAAAAAAAAAAAGAGGAAGAAGGAACAAAACGAAAGAUAAAAAAGCAAAACGAAAAUAUUCCAGAUGAAAUACUAACCUACGACGAGGACAAAAUGUUCUACUUUUUAAAAUUCCAAUUUUUCUAACGGACAGACGUAUAGCUUUUAUUCUGAAAGUUUCAGACGGAUUACAAAAGAGAUAAAUAGAUAAAUAGAUAGAUAGAUAGGUAGAUAGGAGAAACAGGAAGAGAGAGAGAGAGAGAGAGAGAGAGAGAAAAAGAGAAAGAGAAAUUGAUUGAAUAUGUACAAGCGCGUAAGAGUUUACGCAUUGACCUGACUGCGUCUGUGAAUAAUGCGUGUGUACGUGCGUGAGGCAGAGACCAGCUGACUGCCAAAACAGCUGUAGCGAUAUACGAUGAUGCAUCGUGGGGUGUUCGCCUCGUUCCGUUUCUCUCCUUCUUCCUCCCACCCUUCUCACCGCACCCUCUCUUUCCCUCUCUGUCUCUCUCUCUCUCUCUCUUUCUCUCUCUGUCUCUCUUUCUCUCUCUACCUAUAUCCGUCUUUCUCGUCAGUCGAUUGGAGGAGGGUUUUCAGACUGACUGUGAUUUAGCCUCGUAUUUAUGUCUAGUUUCUGGCGUGUUACGCUCUCAGCGAGCCAUUUCGAUUUUCAUCGUAACCGUUUGUUCUCCCACAAAAUAAAGACACUGUAUUAGGAUUAAGUUUUUAAGUUCUCAAUAAGUAGAAAAUGUGAACGUUGUUUAAAUGUCCAGAAUCAAUCGAUCGAGAUAUUUGAAAUGAAUUUGGGCUAUCGUGUUGUGGAGGAGCGUGAGGGGUGGGUGAUGGGGAGAAGAAAAGCAUCAAAGUAUUGCAUCGUUAUGCGCGUAAUGUUUGUCUUGAUAAAUUUUCAUAUGCUCUAGAAAUAUGAGGGAGAGAGAGAGAGAGAGAGAGAGAGAGAGAGAGAGAGAGAGAGAUAGAGAUAGAGAAAUAGAGAAAGAGAGAAAGAGAGAGAGAGAGAGAGAGAACACGUUACAUGCUCUUCAUACGUUUAUCGUCUCACAAAUACGUCGCUCGCGAGGAUAUAAAAUUUAACGCUUGCUCCUACAAAGCACGAGCAAAACGUAAAGUACAUUUUCCUCGACCGAUAGCGACCUACACCGAAUGCAUAAAAAUGGUCCAAAAUGUGAUGCAUCAUAUUGGUAGUAAAAAUAAAAAAAAAAAAAAAAAAAUAAAAA